rnacentral:pre_miRNA from 12 species
CGCCUCCCGCCGCAGUGGCUGACGGGAUGCGGAGCAGCAAACGAGGCCGUCGGCCAUUUUGUGUCUGUUUCCUGUGGGACGCGGUGGUAGCCGU